rnacentral:rRNA from 1 species
GUCGAGCGGAUGAAGGGAGCUUGCUCCUGGAUUCAGCGGCGGACGGGUGAGUAAUGCCUAGGAAUCUGCCUGGUAGUGGGGGAUAACGUCCGGAAACGGGCGCUAAUACCGCAUACGUCCUGAGGGAGAAAGUGGGGGAUCUUCGGACCUCACGCUAUCAGAUGAGCCUAGGUCGGAUUAGCUAGUUGGUGGGGUAAAGGCCUACCAAGGCGACGAUCCGUAACUGGUCUGAGAGGAUGAUCAGUCACACUGGAACUGAGACACGGUCCAGACUCCUACGGGAGGCAGCAGUGGGGAAUAUUGGACAAUGGGCGAAAGCCUGAUCCAGCCAUGCCGCGUGUGUGAAGAAGGUCUUCGGAUUGUAAAGCACUUUAAGUUGGGAGGAAGGGCAGUAAGUUAAUACCUUGCUGUUUUGACGUUACCAACAGAAUAAGCACCGGCUAACUUCGUGCCAGCAGCCGCGGUAAUACGAAGGGUGCAAGCGUUAAUCGGAAUUACUGGGCGUAAAGCGCGCGUAGGUGGUUCAGCAAGUUGGAUGUGAAAUCCCCGGGCUCAACCUGGGAACUGCAUCCAAAACUACUGAGCUAGAGUGCGGUAGAGGGUGGUGGAAUUUCCUGUGUAGCGGUGAAAUGCGUAGAUAUAGGAAGGAACACCAGUGGCGAA